rnacentral:lncRNA from 1 species
UAGUCAUCUUGUCGUUCUUAAUUGUUGUUGCAUCUGUACUGCGACACUGCAGUUGACAAAAAAAAUAUGUUGUUGAGAGGAGAAGUAAAAAUGGAAUAUGAUUAAUUCUUCUGUCGCAUACCUUAGCUUGUUAAAAUGUUGGGCUUCAUGCAUAUUGUUAAGAGGCAAAAAGAUAGCAACCUUGCGGCCUGAAAGAUCAAAUAUGGAAGUAGGAACAAAGAAACAAAUUUGUGUGAAUGCAAAUGUAUGGUGAAAACUGUCAAUCAUAAUACUUUCUUCAAGAAAGAAAGAGACAGCAAGGUACUCUAAAAGUAAUGAUAUAAAACAUAAUAUCUCAUGCUUUAGAUGAAUAAUAAUAGUGUAGUUAUAUUCUGAGAAGCUCUCACUUCUUAUGCAAGCAAUUAAAACUCUUUUGCAUUCUCAUUUUUUAUUUAUUAAGGUUAAGGUUAGUAAGAUAAUACACUUCAGAUGAUACUCAUAUAUAGCUAGAAUAAAUAAAUCUCAUACAAUCCACCAGCAUUGUCAUCCAAAAAAACAAUUAACUAAAAAAAUGGGACUAAAGACUCAAUUCCAUGAACAAAGGGGAAAAAAAAAGUAGAAAAUGAAUUCCAUAUAACCACAUAGUAGAAAUCCAAAAUUGCAUAUCCAUCAAAAAUCAACAUGGAAAGUAAAUAGCAUAGAAGACGGGUCCUCUAUGUAUAACAUGAAACAAAGAGAACCCAUUAACUAAAUCAGAUGACAGAGGAAAAAAAGAACCUAUUGGUUUCAAACCACAUGUCUAUAUGUAAAAGCAAUUAAACAUAUCAUUGUCAAAUUUUAAAUUCACAAUAAGCAAUUGCUAAAUUAAGUCCCACAAAAACUAACAAUCGAUAACACAAAAAUUUCAAAUUAAUUCACAAAAUUGUAAGUAUUAGGAAUACUGCAAAUAGUUAUAACGGCUCAAUGCCGAGUAAGGUAAGAUCAACUAUAUGAAUCUUCACUGUCCAUAUCGCUUCAUUUAAGCUAUGAUAUCAUAGCCAAUGUUGUAAACAAUAUUAAAUUGAAAGACGACACCACCAACAACAAAUGUCCUUCAAUCUAGAGCAAUUUCAGUUCGAAUUUAUGAAUCCUGAUUGUGUUAGGGUUUUGCCCUGAUUUUCUUACCAUAAUUUAAAAUUUAUUUUUCCGUAAAGAAAAACAAAACAUUACCAUAAAUGUUUUUACUUUUCUUGAAAGGAAAAUAUAAUAUUAUUUUAUAUUUGGUUUAUUCUCUCCUUUUAGACUCUUUUCUAGUAAGAAAAGGUUUUAGAACUCUAUAAAUAUAGGUUUGUUUCUUCUAACACAGAAACAAUAACAUCCACAAUAUAGUCGUUUAAGAGUCUUGUUUAUGGGGAGAUUUAUUCUCUCUAAAGUUUCAAUGUUUUUCUUUAUAUUAGUUUUGAUAUAAUAAUAUUUUGAUUUUUAGUAUAAGUUUUUGUUAUCUGAUUUAUCAACUAUAUGAUUUGCAAAUUGCAAGCUUCCGCAUGACGUCCUAAUCACCCCUCAUAACCCAACAGAUUGCCCAUGCCGCUUUGUUUAACUAUCGACAAAAGUUAUUACCACCGUACUAUCAAGAAAACGAAUGUAACCAAGACUUAAAUUAUGUUUCUGAUGGUGGAGCAAAACUAAUGAAAAAGAUAAGAGUGGUAACUGAAGACAUAACCUGCAAUUGAAUGUUGCAUACUGCCCAAAACAGGAACCUUUCUUCACCAGCAACCUGGUACAUUUUUAUAGUUAUCUACAAGUGGUUAAGGAAAUAAAAUGUAAGCUUCAGUUCCAAAAUC